GACGAACGCUUGCGGCGUGCUUAACACAUGCAAGUCGAACGGAAAGGCCCUGCUUUUGUGGGGUGCUCGAGUGGCGAACGGGUGAGUAACACGUGAGUAACCUGCCCUUGACUUUGGGAUAACUUCAGGAAACUGGGGCUAAUACCGGAUAGGAGCUCCUGCUGCAUGGUGGGGGUUGGAAAGUUUCGGCGGUUGGGGAUGGACUCGCGGCUUAUCAGCUUGUUGGUGGGGUAGUGGCUUACCAAGGCUUUGACGGGUAGCCGGCCUGAGAGGGUGACCGGCCACAUUGGGACUGAGAUACGGCCCAGACUCCUACGGGAGGCAGCAGUGGGGAAUAUUGCACAAUGGGCGGAAGCCUGAUGCAGCAACGCCGCGUGCGGGAUGACGGCCUUCGGGUUGUAAACCGCUUUCGCCUGUGACGAAGCGUGAGUGACGGUAAUGGGUAAAGAAGCACCGGCUAACUACGUGCCAGCAGCCGCGGUGAUACGUAGGGUGCGAGCGUUGUCCGGAUUUAUUGGGCGUAAAGGGCUCGUAGGUGGUUGAUCGCGUCGGAAGUGUAAUCUUGGGGCUUAACCCUGAGCGUGCUUUCGAUACGGGUUGACUUGAGGAAGGUAGGGGAGAAUGGAAUUCCUGGUGGAGCGGUGGAAUGCGCAGAUAUCAGGAGGAACACCAGUGGCGAAGGCGGUUCUCUGGGCCUUUCCUGACGCUGAGGAGCGAAAGCGUGGGGAGCGAACAGGCUUAGAUACCCUGGUAGUCCACGCUGUAAACGGUGGGUACUAGGUGUGGGGUCCAUUCCACGGGUUCCGUGCCGUAGCUAACGCUUUAAGUACCCCGCCUGGGGAGUACGGCCGCAAGGCUAAAACUCAAAGGAAUUGACGGGGCCCCGCACAAGCGGCGGAGCAUGCGGAUUAAUUCGAUGCAACGCGUAGAACCUUACCUGGGUUUGACAUGGAUCGGGAGUGCUCAGAGAUGGGUGUGCCUCUUUUGGGGUCGGUUCACAGGUGGUGCAUGGCUGUCGUCAGCUCGUGUCGUGAGAUGUUGGGUUAAGUCCCGCAACGAGCGCAACCCUUGUUCACUGUUGCCAGCACGUUAUGGUGGGGACUCAGUGGAGACCGCCGGGGUCAACUCGGAGGAAGGUGGGGAUGACGUCAAGUCAUCAUGCCCCUUAUGUCCAGGGCUUCACGCAUGCUACAAUGGCUGGUACAGAGAGUGGCGAGCCUGUGAGGGUGAGCGAAUCUCGGAAAGCCGGUCUCAGUUCGGAUUGGGGUCUGCAACUCGACCUCAUGAAGUCGGAGUCGCUAGUAAUCGCAGAUCAGCAACGCUGCGGCGAAUACGUUCCCGGG
rnacentral:rRNA from 1 species